rnacentral:rRNA from 1 species
UCAAGCGACUAAGUGUAUGUGGUGGAUGCCUUGGCGAUUACAGGCGAUGAAGGACGUCGCAGCCUGCGAAAAGCCGUGGGGAGCUGGCAAGCGAGCACUGAUCCACGGAUGUCCGAAUGAGGGAACUCACCCGCAAGGGUAUCUUGAAGUGAAUACAUAGCUUCAAGAGGCGAACGCAGCGAACUGAAACAUCUAAGUAGCUGCAGGAAAAGAAAUCAACCGAGAUUCUGAAAGUAGCGGCGAGCGAAAUUGGAAGAGCCUGCAAGUGAUAUUGAAUUCGAUACUGGAACGGUCUGGAAAGUCCGGCUACAGAGGGUGACAGCCCCGUACGGGAAAUUGGGUUCAAGGUACUGAGCUUGCGAGAAGUAGAGCGGGACACGUGAAAUCCUGCUCGAAGAUGGGGGGACCAUCCUCCAAGGCUAAAUACUCGUAAUCGACCGAUAGCGAACCAGUACUGUGAAGGAAAGGCGAAAAGAACCCCGGGAGGGGAGUGAAAUAGAUCCUGAAACCGCAUACAUACAAACAGUAGGAGCCCGCAAGGGUGACUGCGUACCUUUUGCAUAAUGGGUCAGCGACUUACGUUCAAUGGCAAGCUUAACCGAGUAGGGGAGGCGCAGCGAAAGCGAGUCCGAACAGGGCGACAUGAGUCGUUGGGCGUAGACCCGAAACCAGAUGAUCUAUCCAUGGCCAGGCUGAAGGUGUGGUAACACACACUGGAGGGCCGAACCGACUAGUGUUGCAAAAUUAGCGGAUGAGCUGUGGAUAGGGGUGAAAGGCUAAACAAAUCUGGAGAUAGCUGGUUCUCCCCGAAAACUAUUGAGGUAGUGCCUCGUGUAUGGCUCCAGGGGGUAGAGCACUGUUAUGGCUAGGGGGACAUGGCGUCUUACCAAACCAUGGCAAACUCCGAAUACUUGGAAGUCUGAGCACGGGAGACAGAGCACCGGGUGCUAACGUCCGGACUCAAAAGGGAAACAACCCAGACCGCCGGCUAAGGUCCCUAAUAUUGACUAAGUGGAAAACGAAGUGGGAAGGCUAAGACAGUCAGGAAGUUGGCUUAGAAGCAGCCAUCCUUCAAAGAAAGCGUAAUAGCUCACUGAUCGAGUCUUCCUGCGCGGAAGAUGUAACGGGGCUAAGUCAAUAACCGAAGCCGCGGAUUCGCAGCAAUGCGAGUGGUAGGGGAGCGUUCUGUAAGCCUGCGAAGGCGGAUCCGUGAGGACCGCUGGAGGUAUCAGAAGUGCGAAUGCUGACAUGAGUAACGUUAAAGCGGGUGAAAAGCCCGCUCGCCGCAAGCCCAAGGUUUCCUGCUCUACGUUCAUCGGAGCAGGGUGAGUCGGCCCCUAAGGUCAGGCUGAGAAGCGUAGCUGAUGGGAAGCUGGUUAAUAUUCCAGCACCGAUUUCAAGUGCGAAGGGGGGACGGAGUCCUGAAGGUCAUCCGGGUGUUGGACAUCCCGGUUUACGAGCGUAGGAGGUUGACAGGCAAAUCCGUCAACGGAUCUCCAAGGCGAAGGAUCGAGGUUGAGAGAUCAACUGAAGUGACUGAAUGGGCUUCCAGGAAAAGCCUCUAAGCAUCAGCUUGGAAUUGACCGUACCGCAAACCGACACUGGUGGGCGAGCUGAAUAUGCUCAGGCGCUUGAGAGAACUCAGGAGAAGGAACUCGGCAAAUUGACCCCGUAACUUCGGGAUAAGGUGUGCCUUUGUAGUGUGAAGGGAGAAACACCCCGAGCAUGAAGAGGCCUCAGAGAAUCGGUGGCUGCAACUGUUUACUAAAAACACAGCACUCUGCAAAGAUGAAAGUCGACGUAUAGGGUGUGAUGCCUGCCCGGUGCUGGAAGAUUAAUUGAUGGGGUGCAAGCUCCUGAUCGAAGUCCCAGUAAACGGCGGCCGUAACUAUAACGGUCCUAAGGUAGCGAAAUUCCUUGUC